rnacentral:rRNA from 1 species
AACGAACGCUGGCGGCAGGCCUAACACAUGCAAGUCGAACGCCCCGCAAGGGGAGUGGCAGACGGGUGAGUAACGCGUGGGAAUCUACCCAAAGGUACGGAACAACCAAGGGAAACUUUGGCUAAUACCGUAUGUGCCCGAAAGGGGAAAGCUUUAUCGCCUUUGGAUGAGCCCGCGUCGGAUUAGCUAGUUGGUGAGGUAAUGGCUCACCAAGGCGACGAUCCGUAGCUGGUCUGAGAGGAUGAUCAGCCACACUGGGACUGAGACACGGCCCAGACUCCUACGGGAGGCAGCAGUGGGGAAUAUUGGACAAUGGGCGCAAGCUUGAUCCAGCCAUGCCGCGUGAGUGAUGAAGGCCCUAGGGUUGUAAAGCUCUUUCAGCGGGGAAGAUAAUGACGGUACCCGCAGAAGAAGCCCCGGCUAACUUCGUGCCAGCCGCCGCCGUAA